rnacentral:misc_RNA from 1 species
UAGAAAUAACAUUUAAUGGACUGGUUUUGUCAUUUGCCUCGUCCUUUACAGUACUGUUUUUUUUUUGGUGCAUCUUUUAUAUUCACUACUUCAGUUGCUUUUGUAUUCCAAUAUUAUACUGUGUAUAAAGUUAAAAAAAAAAAAUCUCUAGUGAAUUACAGUUCUGAAAAAAAUCAAAAUUUAGAAGUUAAUUUAGAGAAUAAACCUAAUCAAAAAGGAAGUUUAGAAAAAUUACCCAAUAUGGUUUUUUUAAGUAAUAAUAAAGAAAGUUUUUGCACAUUUUUUGAAAACAAAACAGGAGAAAAUGACUUUGAGCUAGAUACUGAAAAAGAUUUCAUACCAUUCUUUACUGAAGAUAAACUUGAAUAUUUGAUUAAAAAAAGUAUUUUAUCUCCAUCUUCUAAAGUAGCUGUAGAAAAUGUAGAUGAUGAUUUUUCAGAGGAAAAGAUUGUAAGAAAAAUUGUUAUUCUUGGUCUGGAAAAUUCUGGAAAGUCUACACUCGUAGCUCAGCUUUCAAAAAAAGGAAAUCAUUAUAUGGAGUAUAAACCAACUAAAGGAUUUAAUGUUAAAUGCAUUUCUUUUGAUAACUGUGACCUCAGUAUAUGGGAAAUAGGAGGAGAAGAAGAUUAUCGGGUUUAUUGGCGUAACUUUUCUUAUACCACUGACAUGAUUAUAUUUGUGAUUGAUUCUUCUGAUAGGAAUAAAUUCAAAUCAGCGAAAACGUUCUUCUCUGAAAUAUUAGAGAAUUUACACGAAACAGUUAAUUUGCACAUUCUAGCUACAAAAGUUGAUAAAAAUCAGUCAGCAUCACUUGAAGAGUUAUAUUCAGCUCUUGAAUUAGAAAAAUCAAUUUGGGAAAUACAUAAAGUCUCAAUGGUUACAGAGGAUGCAACUGAAAAUAUAGAGUUAGCUCGAGAUACCCUUAAGAGUUAUGGUAAAACUGUUAUUGGAGGAAUUAUUUCACCAACUCACGAUAUGUAUAAAAAAAAGGGACUUAUUGCUUCGAAGCAUCGAGUGCAGAUGUGCCAAUUGGCAACAAAUACUUCUAACUGGAUAAGAGUGAGUAGCUGGGAAAGUGAGCAAGAUUCAUGGCAGCGAACUGUGAAAGUAUUAAGGCAUGUUGACCAAGAUGCAAAUAAAGUUUAUGGUGUACCUGUUCAUGUUAAAUUUCUAUGUGGAGCUGAUCUUAUGGAAUCAUUUUCUGUGCCAGAUCUUUGGAAAACUGAAGAUAUUGAGGAAAUUGUUGGUAAACAUGGUUUAGUUGUUAUAACUAGGGCUGGCUCAAAUCCACAGAAGUUUAUUGAAAAUUCGAGUAUUCUUUCCAAGUUUAAGAACUGCAUUGAGUCGUGGUGAAAGCAUCAGAUAUUUGGUUCCAGACACGGUCAUUGAUUAUAUCGAGAAAAAUAAACUUUAUUGUUAGCUGAAUGUUGUAGAGUAUGAUACUUUCAAAGAUGUGUAUGCAUCAAUACCUCCAUCACUGACAACUAAUCUACAAAUGAAAAACGUACUUUCAUCCUUGAUUGAGAAACAGAUGGCGCCAGGUCUCCUUAACUUGUCUUAACUUUGUAAGAUCUACUUGGCUCUUCCUUUUACAUCUGCUAACGCUGAGAGAGGUUUCAGUAGACUUAAGAUUAUCAAAUUUAUCAGCAAUCAACAAUGACAGUCUUUUUGGAUUGGCAUAAGUUUCAAUUAAAGUAAAUUUGCAGAGAGUAUUGACUUUUCAAUAAGUCGUUUUGCUUCAAUAAAAUAUUGCAGAAAAAAUGUCUUCCUUAAUGCUUGCUUUUAUUAAUAUGUAAUGUAAAUACAUUUUUAAAAAACCAAAGCAUUGCAACAA